rnacentral:rRNA from 1 species
CCUGUACCGAUGUGUAGUGCGAUGUGGGGACGGAGAAGGUUAACUCAGCAGACUGUUGGACGUGUCUGUUCAAGCCUGUAGUCGUGCCUGGUAGGUAAAUCCGCCGGGCUUAGAUGAGGGGUGAUAACGAGGGUGCCUGCACCCGAAGUGAGUGAUACCCUGCUUCCAGGAAAAGCCACUAAGCUUCAGCUACACACGACCGUACUGCAAACCGACACUGGUGCGCGAGAUGAGUAUUCUAAGGCGCUUGAGAGAACUCAGGAGAAGGAACUCGGCGAAUUGACACCGUAACUUCGGAAGAAGGUGUGCCUUUAGUAGGUGAACCAUUUACUUGGGGAGCCCAAUGAGGUUGCAAAAAAUCGGUGGCUGCGACUGUUUAAUAAAAACACAGCACUCUGCAAACACGAAAGUGGACGUAUAGGGUGUGACGCCUGCCCGGUGCUGGAAGAUUAAAUGAUGGGGUGCAAGCUCUUGAUUGAAGUCCCAGUAAACGGCGGCCGUAACAAUAACGGUCCUAAGGUAGCGAAAUUCCUUGUCGGGUAAGUUCCGACCUGCACGAAUGGCGUAACGAUGGCCACACUGUCUCCUCCUGAGACUCAGCGAAGUUGAAAUGUUUGUGAUGAUGCAGUCUCCCCGCGGAAAGACGGAAAGACCCCAUGAACCUUUACUGUAGCUUUGUAUUGGACUUUGAACAGAUCUGUGUAGGAUAGGUGGGAGGCUUUGAAGCAGGGUCGCUAGAUCUUGUGGAGCCAACGUUGAAAUACCACCCUGGUGUGUUUGAGGUUCUAACCUAGGCCCGUUAUCCGGGUCGGGGACAGUGCAUGGUAGGCAGUUUGACUGGGGCGGUCUCCUCCCAAAGCGUAACGGAGGAGUUCGAAGGUACGCUAGGUACGGUCGGACAUCGUGCUAAUAGUGCAAUGUCAUAAGCGUGCUUAACUGCGAGACUGACAAGUCGAGCAGAUGCGAAAGCAGGACAUAGUGAUCCGGUGGUUCUGUAUGGAAGGGCCAUCGCUCAACGGAUAAAAGGUACUCUGGGGAUAACAGGCUGAUACCGCCCAAGAGUUCAUAUCGACGGCGGUGUUUGGCACCUCGAUGUCGGCUCAUCUCAUCCUGGGGCUGUAGCCGGUCCCAAGGGUAUGGCUGUUCGCCAUUUAAAGAGGUACGUGAGCUGGGUUUAAAACGUCGUGAGACAGUUUGGUCCCUAUCUUCCGUGGGCGCUGCAGAUUUGAGGAAGCCUGCUCCUAGUACGAGAGGACCGGAGUGGACACACCUCUGGUGUAUCGGUUGUCACGCCAGUGGCAUUGCCGAGUAGCUAAGUGUGGAAGAGAUAACCGCUGAAAGCAUCUAAGCGGGAAACUCGUUUCAAGAUGAGAUCUGCCGGGGCCUUGAGCCCCCUAAAGAGUCGUUCAAGACCAGGACGUUGAUAGGUCAGGUGUGGAAGCGCAGUAAUGCGUUAAGCUAACUGAUACUAAUUGCUCGUGUGGCUUGACC